CUACGGGCCGCUCCAGUGAGGAAUAUUGCACAAUGGGAGGAACCCUGAUGCAGCAACGCCGCGUGGAGGAUGACACAUUUCGGUGUGUAAACUCCUUUUAUAUGUCAAGAAAAUGACGGUAGCAUAUGAAUAAGCGCCGGCUAACUCCGUGCCAGCAGCCGCGGUAAUACGGAGGGCGCAAGCGUUACUCGGAAUCACUGGGCGUAAAGGACGCGUAGGCGGGUUGAAAAGUCAGGUGUGAAAGCCUACAGCUUAACUGUAGAACUGCACUUGAAACUCUCAAUCUAGAGUAUGGGAGGGGCAGAUGGAAUUAGUGGUGUAGGGGUAAAAUCCGUAGAUAUCACUAGGAAUACCUAAAGCGAAGGCGAUCUGCUGGAACAUUACUGACGCUAAGGCGUGAAAGCGUGGGGAGCAAACAGGAUUAGAUACCCGUGUAGUC
rnacentral:rRNA from 1 species